UAUAAAUGUUCGCAGUUUUCGCGGAUUGAGCCUCUACCGCGAAAAUUUAUACCCACGAAAAUUUAUAUCUUUAUUGAAUAGUAGGCGUGUUCAGUAUUAUUGACCACACCUAUCGACAAUAAGAGGUGCCUCACCAUUAUAUAGGCUAGGCCUGGAUUCGAGGCUAACGGUGUGGAGGUACAGCUGCAUGUUGAUGUGCGCAUGCGCCAAAAGGCUGGAACUCAGACCACGAAAAUAAAAUCCGCGAAAUCCUUUGUAAUGGUCUAUCCGCGAAAAUUUAUACCCUCGAAAUAUACCCGCUAUACGGUACUCAAAGGGCGUGGUUAAUUUCGAUGCGCUCCAGUUGGAAAACAGUCAUGGAUUUCAUGGAAGUAGUAAGACGUUCUCGGGUGGAGGGUGUGAGUCUGCAGGCAGCCAGGGAAGGAGACAUCAUCGUGGGGGGAACUCUCGUGGUGACUGCCUAUAUACUCCACCAGGAGAUAGCUGGGGAAGAUGAGCUCAUUAUUCUGCAUGUGGCUAUAGACCACGUUGAGCGUGUUAAGGCUCCUGCACUGACUGCUGUGGUGUGUUUGAAGGAAUGGUUUGAAGGACUUCCGGAGGCUACAGUUUGAGUUCCAGAUCCUAGAAGAUUGUGUGGACAUGAUGGAUGCCCUGGAGGCUCUCUCUAAACCAGUUCGUAUUCACCAUCUCCAUGCCUUUACCCACUUCCCCGUGUGACCCUCCCCCCAAUGUUGUGGCCAUUCUCAACAGCUGAAGCCUUAUUAGCGGCAUGGGGCUGUUCGCCAGAGCGUUACAGAAUCAGCUACAUCAAUAGGGGCUUCAAAGUGUGUGCUUCCUACCCCCAGGAUAUCAUUGUGCCUCUCUCAAUAACUGAUGAUGAAAUAAAAAAGAGUGCUACCUACCGUCACCAAGGGAGGUUCCCGAUGGUGUGCUUCCAUCAUAAGAAGAGUGGGGCAGUGUUGAUCAAAUGUGGGCAGCCACUGGUGGGGCCGACCAGUAAGAGGUGUCGGGGAGAUGUGAGUAUUCUCAACACUUGUCUCCCUGGACUCAGCAAAGGGAAGGUCAUGGACAUACGCUCCCAGUCCAUCGCACAGCAGCACAUCGCACAGCAGCACAUCGCACAGCAGCACAUCGCACAGCAGCACAUGAGUAAAAGUACAGGGUUUUUAGAAUCUUUGCAACCUCAACGAUAGGGUUGAGUGUUGAGCGUUCCUUACAUGUGUGUAUGGUGCAAAGCAUUCCAUAUAUAAGGAACACUCAACCCUAUUGUUGCUGUUGUAGAUUCUGCAAAACCCUGUGUGUGUAAAUGCCUAUUUUAAUGCCAUGGGAAGAGCCGCAACAACUUUCUACCAGAGACUGUCAUCGAUGCUCAGUGAGAAGAGAGAUGUACCCUACAAUACAAUGAUAGAGUGGGUACGAUGCCGGUUGAGCUUUGCCCUACUGAGGGCAUCCAAUAUGGAAAUUAGGGAUGCCAGAUCAACAAGAAACAGACCAGCUAAGGAUGUACUUCUGAGCCAAUCAAGGUCCAGGUCCUCCGAGGGACACCUAGGACCUAACUAACUGUUUUCUAUUAUAAACCUUUUUACUUUGAAAUUCACUUGUUUUGUAUCACAACUUAUCAUCAUUAUAAUUAUUAUACAUGCAGGACCAACUUUGCAUAAACUAUAUUGUCAGACCCUUCAUAUGCGCAUAAGCUUAUCACCAACCAGGGUUAGCCUAACCAGAGAUAGAGUAAUAGAGGGAUUGGCAACGGGAGUAACUCACGUGAUCAUUUCACAUUGAUUUCAUAUUGAUUUCCUCUCAACCAUCCUUGAUGCGCAUUAUUUCCCGGCACAACGCCCGCGAAACGAAGUAAUAUUACUUUUAGUUAGUUAUUAGUCUCAUGAGACUUUAGAAUUGCGUAUAGUAAGGCUACACGUGUCCUGUGCUUUAUUUAAAGUGAAAUCCAAGCGUGGAAGAAUUGACUGUGGUGCUCUAGAGCUUGAAAACUAGUUAUUAUUGGUCUGUGCCCCCUUUUAAGAAGCACUGCCGUAGCCAAAUGAUGUUUUGCCUACAGAUCCUGCUUAUUUGUGUCUAUGUUGAUGAACUGGCCUGCAUACAUUUCCUUGGUUAAAUCUGUUUUGUAUGUUUUUUACCAAAAAUGCUAAAAUGGAGGCUGUAAAAGACGAGAAAGUGUUAUAUUAGUUUGUGCCCCUUUUAAGAAGCACUGCUGUAAGCCUAUGAUGUUUUACCUACAUAUCUUGUUUUGUUGUGUCUCUGUUGAUCAACUAGGCUGCAUAAAUUCUUGAUUUUGAUUUUCUUAAGCAUGUUUUUUACUUUUAGAUAAAUGGAUGAAAAAAAGUCGAUGACGUAGCGCAUCAAGGAUAGUCACAUUUUUUCGACCGUUGCCAAUCCCUUUCCUUACUUUAUCUCUGGCCUAACCUAACCCUAACCCUAUUUCGUGAGUGUCUUAUGAAGUCAACUAGAUUUCAUUUUAGCAGGUAAUGCCAUAUAUUCCAAUCAGUAUAGUGAAUGGCAACACAUUUUGAGACAAACCAGCUCUGCACACGAAUACUGUCCCCAACAAGGUUAAAUCAUAUGGCGCAGCUGUACCCACCUGGACCUGGCCAUAUAGUGAUCUUCACUCAUCCAUUCUUUAUUUUGGGUAACACUGCAUGAUGGGCAGUCAUUUAUGUCAUGCAUACUUUCACAGGUUGGGGCUUUUUCCAUCCAUUGUCCGUUGUCCUGACACUUUCUCCAUCCCACAUAUAUUGCACCCUUCAGACUAAACCCAUCAUUGCAGGAAGAGUCUCAUCUUUUUCCAGGGUGCCUUCCUCCUACAACACGUAUACCUUGCCAUUAGCUGGGGCAAUCAGUGCUGGGCACUUGACUUCUAAAGUUUAGAUGAAUACAUAAAUUUAUAUGGGGGCAAACACAUUGAAGCAGUACACUCACUUUCACAGGUUGGGGCUUUUCCCGUCCAAUGUCCUCACACUUUCUUCAACACACCUUUCAGACUGAACCCAUCAUUGCAGGAGUAGUCUGCUCUGUCUCCGGGCUUGGUCCCUGAAACUUGCACUUUGCCAUCUUGAGGUGCACUGAGAGAUUAAGGACAAUUUCUUACAACAGCUGUAAAGAAUGAAAUGAUAUAGCUACAGUGCCUUCAGCUUUGAGAGUAAAUACCACAAUAGGGUGAGUAGUUGUACUUAAAUGUAUCUCAAGAUUGGAACAUUUCUAAGAAAUUGUGCUUAUACCAUUGUAUAGGUGAAUGAAUAUUAAAGCUACAUCAAAAAUAUUUCCUCAAAAGUUGUUGUAGUGGGAAAUCGUUCUAGGUGAAAAAGGGGGUGAUCUCGUAAAAAAAUAUGUGUAACAUCAAAUAUCAUCCUCCGGAACUAAAGUAUUUCUAGACACAUUCAGAAAAUUUAUUAACAAUUAAAGUGCAAAAACAAUUAGACCUUAGACGACAAAUUUGCUUGAGUUCCAUCGUUAAGCAAACAGGCACCCAAAAUACCCCAUAAUUGAGUAUUAAUAUUUAAGUAUGUGUACUUAUGUAAGCUAACCAUGCAUAUGUUAACUAUUCAGGAAUGUUGUGCCAAAGUUCCAUACCUUAGCCGAAAACAAUUGGUCUUUUCCAUCCCUAAGCAAUUGUCCACUAUAGAAAAAUGUUGGUGUUAGCUAUAUAAACCAUCACAUACCCACCACCUUUGGUUGCUAUGGAAAUCUUUUUGGAUGAGUUUUAUUCACCAACACAAUGGUAUCAUAUUUUCUUAGAAAUGUUCCAAUCCCAAAAUAUUUACAUUUAGGUACCAAUACGCACCAAAUUGCGUUUAUUUACUCCAUAGACUAAAAUUAAUGCACUGUAUGUAGAUUUAAAAUUAAUGUUAUGUUAACAGUGCUUUAGCUGGAACGAGUUUGCAAACGAAUUGGCUGUAGCCUGAAAGCUCAAAUCCCUCGGAAGACCACUUUCUAUCCGAUUGGGUAGUGAGAGUUUACAGGGUGAAAUUAACCAUAAUUCUUUGCAGCAACAGGAGCUCUGCAAAUUAUUGUUGGCAUAAUUUACCAAAUGCAUUAUACAGUUCCACGUAUGUUACAGCAGUUCAACUCUUACCUAUACUCUUGUUUAUGUGUAUGCUAUUAGACAUGAGACAUGCAUGCAUGCAUAUUCACGCUUUGUGGGCAAUCAUCUUCAAUAGACC